CAAAAACAUUAUCUUAUGAAGUCUUAUAUAAGACAAUUCCUGCCCAGUGAAAUUUAAACGGCCGCGGUACCCUAACCGUGCAAAGGUAGCAUAAUAACUUGUCUAUUAAUUGUAGACUGGAAUGAAAGGAUAAACAAAACUUAACCUGUCUCCAUUAAACUCAUAAAAAUUAUUAUCUACUUGAAGAAAAUUAGAUAAAACUGAAGGACAAGAAGACCCUGUAGAGCUUUACUUUCAUACAGAUAUAGAAUCUAUAAAAGUUCGGUUGGGGCGACCUAAGAUAUAAUUAUCACCUUAUGUGCAAAGAACUAUUAUUCUUUAUUAUGAGCCUAAAUUUAUAGAUCAAUAAUAACAGCUACCUCAGGGAUAACAGGCUAAUAUUCUAAAAAGUUCCCAUUUACAGAUGUGUUUGGCACCUCGAUGUUGGCUUAAGAAAUCUAUACAGUGCAAAAGCUUUAUAAGAUGGUUUGUUCAACCAAUAAUCUCCUACGUGAUCU
rnacentral:rRNA from 1 species